CUACGGGAGGCAGCAGUGGGGAAUAUUGCACAAUGGGGGAAACCCUGAUGCAGCGACGCCGCGUGAGUGAAGAAGGUCUUCGGAUCGUAAAACUCUGUCCUUGGUGACGAAAAAAAUGACGGUAGCCAAGGAGGAAGCCCCGGCUAACUACGUGCCAGCAGCCGCGGUAAU
rnacentral:rRNA from 1 species